GGAGAUGUACCGAAGUGGUUGUAACGGGUCUGAUUCGAAAUCAGUUUGUCGUUAAUAGCGGCACGUGGGUUCGAAUCCCACCAUCUCCG
rnacentral:tRNA from 1 species